rnacentral:rRNA from 1 species
AUUGAACGCUGGCGGCAGGCUUAACACAUGCAAGUCGAGCGGAGCGGCGGACGGGUGAGUAAUGCUUAGGUAUCUGCCUGUUAGUGGGGGACAAAUACUCGAAAGGGAUGCUAAGUCCGCAUACUAAUAGAUGAGCCUAAGUCGGAUUAGAUAGUUGGUGGGGUAAAGGCCUACCAAGGCGACGAUCUGUAGCGGGUCUGAGGGGAGGAUCCGCCCAACUGGGACAGGGGAACGGCCCCGACUCCUACUGGAGGCAGCAGUGGGGAAUACUGCACAAUGGGCGAAAGUCUGACCAGGCAAGGCGGGUGUGUGGAGGAAGCCUUACGGUUGUAAAGCACUUUUAGCUAGGGAGCGUUACUCGCAGAAUAAGCACCGGCUAACUCUGUGCCAGCAGCCGCGGUAAUAC